UCCCUGUUACCAGGGCAGUCUGAGUAGAAAAAUCCAACUACUCAAAAGGGUUGCGCUCGUUGAUGGACUUAACCAAACAUCUCACGACACGAGCUGACGACGGCCAUGCAACACCUGUCACUUGGCUCAAUAAAGCACUCUCUCCUUUCGGAGAAAUUCCAAGGAUGUCAAGCCUGGGUAAGGUUCUUCGCUUAUCAUCGAAUUAAACAACACGCUCCACCGCUUGUGCGGGUCCCCGUCAAUUCCUUUAUGUUUUAGUCUUGCGACCGUACUCCACAGGCGGGAUGCUUAACGCGUUAGCUUCGCUACUAGCCGGGUCGAUACGGCUAACAGCUAGCAUCCAUCGUUUACGGCGUGGACUAC
rnacentral:misc_RNA from 1 species